rnacentral:rRNA from 1 species
GACGAACGCUGGCGGCACGCUUAACACAUGCAAGUCGAACGGAGAUAUUUUGAGUUUACUUAGGAUAUCUUAGUGGCGGACGGGUGAGUAACACGUGAGCAACCUGCCUUGGAGAGAGGGAUAGCUUCUGGAAACGGAUGGUAAUACCUCAUAACAUACAUGGAUCGCAUGAUCUGUGUAUCAAAGAUUUAUCACUCUGAGAUGGGCUCGCGUCUGAUUAGCUAGAUGGUGAGGUAACGGCCCACCAUGGCGACGAUCAGUAGCCGGACUGAGAGGUUGAACGGCCACAUUGGGACUGAGACACGGCCCAGACUCCUACGGGAGGCAGCAGUGGGGAAUAUUGCACAAUGGGGGAAACCCUGAUGCAGCGAUGCCGCGUGGAGGAAGAAGGUUUUCGGAUUGUAAACUCCUGUCUUAAAGGACGAUAA